UUGAUCCUGGCUCAGGACGAACGCUGGCGGCACGCUUAACACAUGCAAGUCGAACGAGAGAAGAGAAGCUUGCUUUUCUGAUCUAGUGGCGGACGGGUGAGUAACACGUGAGCAAUCUGCCUUUCAGAGGGGGAUACCGAUUGGAAACGAUCGUUAAUACCGCAUAACAUAAUUGAACCGCAUGAUUUGAUUAUCAAAGAUUUAUCGCUGAAAGAUGAGCUCGCGUCUGAUUAGCUAGUUGGUAAGGUAACGGCUUACCAAGGCGACGAUCAGUAGCCGGACUGAGAGGUUGAUCGGCCACAUUGGGACUGAGACACGGCCCAGACUCCUACGGGAGGCAGCAGUGGGGAAUAUUGCACAAUGGAGGAAACUCUGAUGCAGCGAUGCCGCGUGAGGGAAGAAGGUUUUAGGAUUGUAAACCUCUGUCUUCAGGGACGAAAAAAGACGGUACCUGAGGAGGAAGCUCCGGCUAACUACGUGCCAGCAGCCGCGGUAAUACGUAGGGAGCGAGCGUUGUCCGGAAUUACUGGGUGUAAAGGGAGCGUAGGCGGGAUCGCAAGUCAGAUGUGAAAACUAUGGGCUUAACCCAUAAACUGCAUUUGAAACUGUGGUUCUUGAGUGAAGUAGAGGUAAGCGGAAUUCCUAGUGUAGCGGUGAAAUGCGUAGAUAUUAGGAGGAACAUCAGUGGCGAAGGCGGCUUACUGGGCUUUAACUGACGCUGAGGCUCGAAAGCGUGGGGAGCAAACAGGAUUAGAUACCCUGGUAGUCCACGCCGUAAACGAUGAUUACUAGGUGUGGGGGGACUGACCCCUUCCGUGCCGCAGCAAACGCAAUAAGUAAUCCACCUGGGGAGUACGACCGCAAGGUUGAAACUCAAAGGAAUUGACGGGGGCCCGCACAAGCAGUGGAGUAUGUGGAUUAAUUCGAAGCAACGCGAAGAACCUUACCAGGUCUUGACAUCGUAUGCAUAGCUCAGAGAUGAGUGAAAUCUCUUCGGAGACAUAUAGACAGGUGGUGCAUGGUUGUCGUCAGCUCGUGUCGUGAGAUGUUGGGUUAAGUCCCGCAACGAGCGCAACCCUUACUGUUAGUUGCUACGCAAGAGCACUCUAGCAGGACUGCCGUUGACAAAACGGAGGAAGGUGGGGAUGACGUCAAAUCAUCAUGCCCUUUAUGACCUGGGCCUCACACGUACUACAAUGGCUGUCAACAGAGGGAAGCAAAGCCGCGAGGUGGAGCAAACCCCUAAAAGCAGUCUUAGUUCGGAUUGUAGGCUGCAACCCGCCUACAUGAAGUCGGAAUUGCUAGUAAUCGCAGAUCAGCAUGCUGCGGUGAAUACGUUCCCGGGC
rnacentral:rRNA from 1 species